rnacentral:rRNA from 1 species
UGCAAGUCGAACGAAGUCUUCGGACUUAGUGGCAGACGGGUGAGUAACGCGUGGGAACAUACCUUUCGGUACGGAACAACAGUUGGAAACGACUGCUAAUACCGUAUACGCCCUAUGGGGGAAAGAUUUAUCGCCGAGAGAUUGGCCCGCGUUAGAUUAGCUAGUUGGUGGGGUAAUGGCCUACCAAGGCGACGAUCUAUAGCUGGUCUGAGAGGAUGAUCAGCCACACUGGGACUGAGACACGGCCCAGACUCCUACGGGAGGCAGCAGUGGGGAAUAUUGGACAAUGGGCGCAAGCCUGAUCCAGCCAUGCCGCGUGAGUGAUGAAGGCCUUAGGGUUGUAAAGCUCUUUCAGCGAGGAGGAUAAUGACGUUACUCGCAGAAGAAGCCCCGGCUAACUUCGUGCCAGCAGCCGCGGUAAUACGAAGGGGGCUAGCGUUGUUCGGAAUCACUGGGCGUAAAGCGCACGUAGGCGGACUUUUAAGUCAGGGGUGAAAUCCCGGGGCUCAACCCUGGAACUGCCUUUGAUACUGGAAGUCUUGAGUCCGAGAGAGGUGAGUGGAAUUCCGAGUGUAGAGGUGAAAUUCGUAGAUAUUCGGAGGAACACCAGUGGCGAAGGCGGCUCACUGGCUCGGUACUGACGCUGAGGUGCGAAAGCGUGGG